UUCUCCUAACUCUACUCUCAUUUGCAACAUCAACACCAUCAAGUUUCAUCAAAACCUCAUGUGCACCACACAAUACCCUACACUUUGUGUUUUUCAAUCUCUAUCUGUCUAUGCAUCACAAGUCCAACAAGAUCAACAGUUAGUCAAGCUUAUCUUAGUCUCAACAAAUCAAUCCACAAAAGGCUUUGUUACAAUGUGCAAAGCGUCAAAAAUCUUAAAACCAUCAGAAUGCUGCUCUUCAUGAUUGUGCUGAGAAAUCAAGUGAUAGUGUUGAUAGGCUUAGCCGUUCAUUGAAAGAGCUUCACUCUGCAAGAUCAACGGUCAGGAUUCAAUUGGCAUAUAAGCAAGUGGGACAUGGGUUAGCUCAGCUUUGACAGAUGAGAGCACUUGUGGGAUGGAUUUAGUGGAAAAGCACUUGAUGGAAAAAUCAAGCUUCUAUUAGAUCUAAGAAUGGUUAAUGUUGCUCAAGUUACUAGUAAAUGCUCUUUACUUACUUAUCAAUAUGCUGCUAAACACUAGUAAAGAUCAAACACUAGGAAUCAAAGGUUUGCUUUUAGGUGUGGAGAUGCCUUUAAUGUUGUUGGUUUUUUUUUGUUUUAAUUUAUGUGGUGUGUAAUGUGUAAUUAUAUCUAUAUUUAUAUAAUAUAAAGAGAGACAUAACUUUGUCAAGUGUGAAAUAAAUUUUCUAUUGAUUUAUUGAUUUUUUAUUUGCAAAAUUCUUUGGAUUGAUGUAUGAAAAUGUUCAAAAUUUAUCUUUCUAUCUCGGCCUCAACCCAAUAGGUGUCUGUAAGAUUUUUUUUUUGGAUUAUUUCAAAGUUUAGAACCAAAUAUACUUCUUGAUGGAUUUUGGCAAGUGAACCAAAAUUUGUCAAGUAGUAUAAUUUUAAAGAGAUUGUAUCUACAAGAAUGUUAUAAUUCACGGGACGAUAAUGAUUAUACUUGUUUAAAAAAAUGUAAUAAUUAGUAAUGAAAGGGUACAUAUUAUUGGAAUUCCUUAAUAAUUCAAAUGCUUCAUAGAAGCUUUAAAAAGCACUGCAUGAAAAUAGUUAUUGAUAUGGUUUUGGAAAAAAGCUGUUUUUUUAAUUCUUUUUUUCUGUUAAUUCUUGGCCUGUUUGUGGUAUCCAUUUUGUACCCUAUAAAUAGACAUUGUAGUAUAGUUGAGGUAUAAGCCAUAUAUUCAAUUCUCUCAAUCUUUCUCUAUUUCUCUAUCUCUCUUAUCUCACAUUAUCAUUUUCAUUGCUUCCCAAACACAACUGUCUAUGUCACCACUGCUUUUGGUUUUCGCAACAUUUGGUAUCAGAAGCUUGUUUUGAAUCCAAUUCCGUCUGCAAUCAUGUCCGGUCAAACGAUAAAAUACACUACCAAAUCGUGCCUCCUCGUGACUCGAAAAACUGACGACAAUGGCGAGACAAAUGAAGGGGUUUGUUCGCUAUCAACGUUCUUGGGAUGCAAAGAUGUGUGGGGUGACGGGUGGUUCGUCGAAGAGAGCAUCCGGAUGCUCAAAAGGCUACAUGAUAAAAGAGAAAAGAAGAAGGAUUUACAAACGUGUGUUUUGAUCCAUUCUUGUGUCGAUGCGUGAAAACUUUGAAAAAGUAGGCCAUUGCCGAUUCGCCAGCAAGCGAGGGAUUUGAGAAGGCUUAUGCAGGGGUACCAAGCCAAAUGUGUGAGGUUACUAAACUCACAGCGGACAGUCGAGUUAAUGCAAAAUCGGAGGACAAGGAGUCGAUAAAACGAUUAUGCUGACGCGUAUACGCGUGUAUGUGAAUCAAAUAAGUCGUGCGGGAGAAAACUACGGUUAGAGCGGAAUGUUUUGUGUCGAAGAUCUUGCCUUCUUUAACGCCAAGAUUCACGAACAUUGUCGUUCGCGCUUGAAGAAAUCGAGAGAUUUAUCUGCAUUGAUCGAAGGGAGGAGCUCAAAGCUCACUAGAAGCUCUAUGAAGCAAUGGAUAGAGGAAACGAUAAGCGAAGUCGGAAGUAGCUUGCUGCAAGCAGCGACUCAUGAAAGAGUAAGACGAUCAAAGGAAAAGGGCAUCGAGAGGGGUCCAAUUUCCAAAUUUGUGUGGUAAGAGUCACAAAAUUCCAAAGGCAAACGGUGAGGAAGCUCCAAGAGGGUGAUAAGGAACCCACAAAGCCAUUGACGAAGUACGUGAAGUGUGUACAAUCUGUCAAAGCUUGAAGGAUUUCGCAAAGUUUUGCCGCGACGAAGAGAAAUCGAAUGGGCUGAGGCGGAAAGCUUUGCUAAGGAAGAAGCGAAUAUGAUAUACGCUUUGUGAUGAAUCAGGAGAGAAAUCUCGAUGCCCAUGACGACAAAGCGGGGCCGGACGCGCGUUCCGGCGGCAGUGUGCAGACGAAUUCUGGCAGUAAGACGCGAGUUCAGGACGGAAACGCCAAUGGUAGCGUCUCGAGGAUGCAAUUCAAGAGUAGAACGAGUGGUAGUUGCGAUUCUGAGGUCUGGGAGCUCACUCAUACGGAGAAGAUUGUUUGUCCAAAUUCCAAUCGAGCAGCAAGAUUAAAGUGAGAUUGCGAUGAUACGGAUGUUAUCCCGAUGGCCGGGUUGGAAUGUCUGUGAUGCCGCUGAAAGAAGCUGAUGCGGUUCAAUUGAUCUAAGGAUGGUCUGUGACGAUUCGGAGGAUCGAAUGUAAUCUCUUGGCAGUGGCAACUGUUGGUACCCAGAGGCCAAUUUUGGUAUUGUAGUGAAUUAUUUUAUAUAGAAUGAGGCUUUAUUUUUAUUAACGUCCUUGUUUAGAUAGAUCCCCCGCGAGCUGUCGCGGCGCCGCGCCGCCGGCUAGCGAUUCAUAUAGGCUAGUCGUGCGCGGCCGCUUUAAUGCUAGUCAGUACAUUAAUCAUGAGAUGAGCAUAACCAUUAAGGACGACUAUUCUUAACGGUAGUCACGUAGAUCGAGCUGUCGGACUUAUUGUGCAAGUCCGGGCGGGGGAUGCCAUUAAACCAUUAAGACCUACAUAGCGUGGUAUAUAGCCUGGAUGAUGCACAUCUCAGUGGAUAUGGAUAGCGGAUGGAGUUAUCAAGUCUUAAAUAGGUGAUCUUAAGAUAUAUUCUAUAGCCGUAUGACGGGCGCUACUGGAUCUGAUAUAUAAGUUAUGCAGGUGUUCCGUAUCUAUCUUCCUCAUGGUAUACUGGUCGUUAUCAAUCUUCGACCGUGAACCCAGUCUUGGACCCUCGAUGUUCGGUGCUUAUAUUGUGAUUCCAACUGUUGUCGAAUGCUCAUAACCAUAAAGACAUGGCAUGGGUCUCCGGGUCGGCAAUGUUGACGGGCGCAUGAGUGGACCUAGAUGGAUCUUUGCCAUCCUACUACAAGGAUAAUGUUAUGGCCAAUGAUUGAAUGGAAGGAUAGCCGGCUCUAUGCUUUCUUCAAUCUGUACUAGAAUUCAAUCGGCAAAGCGAUACUAAUAAUGAUAACAGACAGAGACUUGUCAGAGUCUGAUUUUCGGUGUCGUUGGGUCGCGUUCAUGUGACUGUGCUGUACGGAUACGCUCACUUUAAUUAUGCUCGAUACGAUGAUUUCACCUGAUAUUUACGCAUGCGCGAUAACGCUAGCAGGUCACAAAAGGCGGGGGUUAUGGGAGAUGACGGAUAAUAGAGAACACGUAAGGUAGGGUGCCCUUAGUGAAUUGUGGUGAAUCGUCGUCUNGUCGACUUAUUUAACAUUAUAAAUGUAUAUGGAUAUGUAGGUCAACCUAUUUAACAUUUUUUAAAUAUAUAUAUAUAUAUAUAUAUAUAUAUAUAUCAUCCUAUUUAGACUAUUUUUAAUAUAUAUAAAAAUAUAGACGGGUUUAUAAGAUUUCAUAGACUUUUUUAAUAGCCUAAGCCUGACCUACUUAAUUAAAUAAUAUUUUUUAAUAGUCUAAUCCUGACCUAUUUAAUUAAAUAGGUUUUUACAAAAACCUAAGUCUGAAUUUUUUAUUAAAUAGGUUUAGGGUUUAGUCCUUUAUAGACUAAUCUGACCUAUUAUUAUCCCUAAUUACAAUCAACCAAAAUUUAGUGUAACCAAAUAAAUUAGAACCUACUCUAUUAUAAUGUGAAGAAACACAAUCAAGCGUAAGAGGAAAACGAUAUUUUAACGUUUGAUAGUUUAAAAAAAAAGUUUUGUUCCAAAUUACAUGUUACAUUUGAGUAUUUUACACGUAUUAAGAAAGUGUGAUAAAUAAAAGAGAGAAUAUCAAUUUUAUCAUUGGUGCAUUCUAAUGAUCAUAAAUGCCAAGUGAGAAUAACCGGAGAGUGAUAUAGAUAGUAUUAAUUGAAGGGUAACAUUGGAAGCAAAAAUUAAAUUUGUAUUGGAAACUAAAAGCAAACAUUUAUUUUGAAACAAAUAAUUUAUUAAAAUGCGAUAUUUAUUUUGGGACGGAGAGAGUAUCAUUUCUUAUGUAAAGAGAACUCGAUACCCUGGACUCUUUCUGAUUUUAAUUAUAUUGGAUUGUUGAUGGAGAGUAUGGGUUUUUGAGAUGAUAUAUCCUGGUUUUGGGGUGUUAGAUAGAGGAGAGAGCUUUUUGUUUUUGAGCGUGACCUAGUCGGUAACCCUGUCGCAACGAGCUAGAGUACAAACAUCUUCCAUGACGAUGACACGUAGUCAUGUAAUCCGGAUGAAAAUGAGGUGUAUUUGGUUAAAUAAACUUUUUAGCUUUGUUAAAUACUAGACUUCUCGUUGAUGAGUCUAAUAAUGAAGUUGAUUCUAUUAUGCCUCUUGUUGGAAGAAGUUGAUCCAUUCUAAAGUUAUUGUCUUCUCCUAAAAGCUUCUCCAAGAUCGAAUUCUGGCGAGGGAUAAUCUAUGUGGCUGUUGAAUUAUAAUAGGCUCUGGUGAAUUAAUGUGCACUUUUUGUCAAGGCUCUACAUAAUUUGUUAAUCAUAUUUUCAUUACUCAUCAGGUGACAUCUAACUUGUAAUAUAAUAUUUUUAGGUGUUUUGGGUGGACUUUUGUGUACCUAGAGAAAUAGUUUGUUAUUCGAGACUGUCAUAUCUUUAGAGAAGAAGUCUAGUGGUAGAGUUUGACCUACCUUAAUUUGACACUAUCAUGUGAACCUUAUGAAAAUUCCAAAAUGAACAUUUUUUUUCAAAUAAGACAUCAACAAUGGAGGAAUUGGAGAAUCAAAUUCUCUUCGCCUCUUAGAAUUGGUUUCUUACUAGAACUUCGAUUUAUUCUCGCAUGUUCUUUAAUUGGAUGGUGGAUCAUAUCUUCAGAAUCGAUAGAUGUUGAAGGAACCACUUUUCCAGCCUCAAGAGUAGUUUAUUGUUCAAAUGGUGAUUAUGGCCUUUGGUAUAUUUCCAAAACUUUUAUAACUAAAGGUCUUUGUAGUCUUUAUUAUAUAUGUAUACUUAGGAAUCGUUAACAUCAUCAUCAGUGUCAGAUUUAACUUACUUAAAUCUCUCAAUAACUCUUCGUAAAUGAUUAAUUAAAUUAAUCAAUCUUAUUAUUGAAUUAAUAGAUACUAUCAGAUAGAUUAAGUCUAUAAAAUUUUAUAAAAUUUAAAAAAAUCAUUUGAUAUUCAAUCACGUCAAUUAUAUUAUUUUAACAUAUAAUAAAUAUCAACUAUUAAAAUAUAUAAUAAUGGAUGUUUAAAUUGUUUGAUACUUUUAUACAUGAUCAUCAUAUAUAAUUUAAUGUUAAGAUUGAUUUAAUUCUUAAUUUAGAAAGAAUUAUAGAAAGUGUAUAUGUUAAGUUUGACCCAUGGUGUCAAUAGUGUAUUGAUUUUAUAUAUAUAUUGUUGGCUUGUCAAAUUCAAGUUUCUCCAUUUAUAUAAUUUACCCUUUAAUUUAUUUUACACGCUUUAUUUUAGAUUCUCUCUUAUUUUAUCUAAAUAGUGGACCCCACCAUGCAGAGUUAGGCACAUGAUAAUGAUAUAGUUGGGAACUAUUGACUCACAAGCCCAAACCCCAUCUAUAUCUCUAUAUAAUAUCUACAUUCUUAUUCUCACAAAUCACAACCAAACCUCAAAACAAAACCUCUUUUUUCUCUCUACCAAACAUGGCAACAAUGUUUACUCUUCUUUUCCUUCUCCUAACUCUACUCUCAUUUGCAACAUCAACACCAUCAAGUUUCAUCAAAACCUCAUGUAGCACCACACAAUACCCUACACUUUGUGUUCAAUCUCUAUCUGUCUAUGCAUCCACAAUCCAACAAGAUCCACACCAGUUAGUCCAAACAGCUUUAUCCCUUAGUCUCAACAAAACUCAAUCCACAAAAGGCUUUGUUACAAUGUGCAAAAGCUUCAAAAAUCUUAAACCAUCAGAAUAUGCUGCUCUUCAUGAUUGUGCUGAAGAAAUCAGUGAUAGUGUUGAUAGGCUUAGCCGUUCAUUGAAAGAGCUUAAACUCUGCAAGAUCAACGGUCAAAAAGCUUCAAAAAUCUUAAACCAUCAGAAUAUGCUGCUCUUCAUGAUUGUGCUGAAGAAAUCAGUGAUAGUGUUGAUAGGCUUAGCCGUUCAUUGAAAGAGCUUAAACUCUGCAAGAUCAACGGUCAGGAUUUCAAUUGGCAUAUAAGCAAUGUGGAGACAUGGGUUAGCUCAGCUUUGACAGAUGAGAGCACUUGUG
rnacentral:lncRNA from 1 species